CAGGUUUGUCGGUAGCUUAUGCCUGCAGAACAGAAUCUGUCUUGGCCUUCACCUUCACCAGGGCGAGUGUGGCUGCACCUGUCUUUAAUCUGUAUAAUGAUCACGUUCACGGGUGAGCACUGACGAAUGGCUCAGGCGUUUCACUGAGACAGAGGAAGGUAGUGAAGAGAGCAGAUGUUCAUGCUAACCCUCCUUCUCCAUCCUUUCAAUCCUCCGGUGACACUGCUGCAAAGGACCACCAAGAGAAAAGCUGCACUGCCUGUUUGUAAGCACGUGUCCAGAUGCACAUGACAGUCUAUAACAUUCCAACUGCACAGCAGUGAGGCAAUGCAAACUUGAAUUACAUGCUUGUUUGCUUUAAUUGUGUUUUUUUUUUUUUUUUUUUUUAAACAUUUUUUAUUUAAUUUACAUCUAUGACUUACGUGGAGUUCAUUCUUUACACAUUGGAAUCUCGAGCACUCGGGGUUUACUUGUGCGCGCGCAUGAAAGCGUUCCUGUACCAUUAGGCUACACUUUCAACACUGUUUUGGAUUUCAUUCACUGGAAAAGGACAACGUGUCCGUUGACUUGCUGCGAGCUGUGCAACCGAAAUAGUUCAGAGAUGAAAAUUUCACCACCUGUGCGAGAAGCUGCCCUCAAAAAUACUCGAAGGAAGUAAUUAUGGACUACUAGUGAGAGGAGAGACUGCUUCACUGGCCAGGUGGACAAGAACCAAAUGAAAUAUGUGUAAUUAAGACAGCUCUACAUUAUAGCACUGGUACCUAGCCAGGUACAAAAACUGGCACAGUGACGAAUAUAUGUAGACUUAUUAUUUAUAUUGUGCUUAAUGAAAUAUUACAUGAAAUACGAUCUUUCUAUGUUUUUAUAAAAAAAAAAAUAUGACGAACUAUUGCGAAGGUCUCGAGGUUGGCAUUUGUUUUGCACAUAUAGGGCAUUAACAAAUUCAGCUGAUUCACCUUAGAUUACACUGUCAAUACUAAUUUGUGAUUGCAGUUGUCUUUGUGGGAUUAAUGAAUGAGAUAUUUGGGAAAUAAAACAUAUUUCAACAAAAGAAACACGUGUGUGUGUGUGUGUGUGUGUGUGUGUGUG
ensembl:lncRNA